UAAUACGGGGGGAGCAAGCGUUGUUCGGAUUUACUGGGCGUAAAGGGCGCGUAGGCGGCCUCCGCAAGUCAAUUGUGAAAUCUCCGGGCUUAACUCGGAAAGGUCAACUGAUACUGCGGGGCUAGAGUGCGGAAGGGGCAACUGGAAUUCUUGGUGUAGCGGUGAAAUGCGUAGAUAUCAAGAGGAACACCUGCGGCGAAGGCGGGUUGCUGGGCCGACACUGACGCUGAGGCGCGAAAGCUAGGGGAGCGAACGG
rnacentral:rRNA from 1 species